rnacentral:snRNA from 1 species
GUCGCUUCUCGGCCUUCUGGCUACGAUCAACGUUUAGUUUGUGUUCUUAUCGAAUUAGCCUUCGAUAGAGAUUCGAGUGAGUUCUGUUAACGUUAUCUGAUUUUUACGACCGGAAGAAGUCGUGAGGUUGCUCGCACCUCGUCGUGGGUCGGCCCAACGUUG